GUGGGGAAUCUUGCGCAAUGGGCGAAAGCCUGACGCAGCCAUGCCGCGUGAAUGAUGAAGGUCUUAGGAUUGUAAAAUUCUUUCACCGGGGACGAUAAUGACGGUACCCGGAGAAGAAGCCCCGGCUAACUUCGUGCCAGCAGCCGCGGUAAUACGAAGGGGGCUAGCGUUGCUCGGAAUUACUGGGCGUAAAGGGCGCGUAGGCGGAGAGUUUAGUCAGAGGUGAAAGCCCAGGGCUCAACCUUGGAAUUGCCUUUGAUACUGGCUGUCUUGAGUACGGGAGAGGUGAGUGGAACUCCGAGUGUAGAGGUGAAAUUCGUAGAUAUUCGGAAGAACACCAGUGGCGAAGGCGACUCACUAGCCCGUUACUGACGCUGAGGCGCGAAAGCGUGGGGAGCAAACAGGAUUAGAAACCCCUGUAGUCC
rnacentral:rRNA from 1 species